CUACGUGCCAGCAGCCGCGGUAAUACGGAAGGUCCGGGCGUUACCCGGAUUUAUUGGGUUUAAAGGGAGCGUAGGCCGGAGAUUAAGUGUGUUGUGAAAUGUAGACGCUCAACGUCUGAAUUGCAGCGCAUACUGGUUUCCUUGAGUACGCACAACGUUGGCGGAAUUCGUCGUGUAGCGGUGAAAUGCUUAGAUAUGACGAAGAACUCCGAUUGCGAAGGCAGCUGACGGGAGCGCAACUGACGCUUAAGCUCGAAGGUGCGGGUAUCGAACAGGAUUAGAUACCCUGGUAGUCCGCACAGUAAACGAUGGAUGCCCGCUGUUGGUACCUGGUAUCAGCGGCUAAGCGAAAGCAUUAAGCAUCCCACCUGGGGAGUACGCCGGCAACGGUGAAACUCAAAGGAAUUGACGGGGGCCCGCACAAGCGGAGGAACAUGUGGUUUAAUUCGAUGAUACGCGAGGAACCUUACCCGGGCUUGAAUUGCAGAGGAAGGAUUUAGAGAUA
rnacentral:rRNA from 1 species